rnacentral:rRNA from 1 species
AACGAACGCUGGCGGCGUGCCUACACAUGCAAGUCGAACGAGAAAGGGGCUUCGGCUCCGAGUAAAGUGGCGCACGGGUGAGUAACACGUAGGUAACCUGCCUCUAAGAUUGGGAUAACCUGUCGAAAGACGAGCUAAUACCAAAUGAGACCACAGUCUCUUCGGAGACAGGGGUCAAAGGUAGCCUCUAUUUAUAAGCUAUCGCUCAGAGAUGGGCCUGCGUACCAUGAGCGAGUUGGUGAGGUAACGGCUCACCAAGGCAAAGAUGGUUAGCUGGUCUGAGAGGAUGAUCAGCCACACUGGAACUGAGACACGGUCCAGACUCCUACGGGAGGCAGCAGUGGGGAAUAUUGCGCAAUGGGCGAAAGCCUGACGCAGCAACGCCGCGUGAGUGAUGAAGGCCUUCGGGUCGUAAAGCUCUGUCGGAGGGGACGAAUGCUCUUGAGGUUAACAGCCUCGGGAGGUGACGGUACCCUCAAAGGAAGCACCGGCUAACUCUGUGCCAGCAGCCGCCGUAA